GGUUUCUUUUUGGUUUAAGGUAGCACUGACUAUAACUGGACGAUUCAUAUCUUCAUCCAGAAAUUCAUAUCUCAGGUUUUUAGGCAGUUCCUUAAGUUUUACGGUCGGUUUCAUAGGGCAAGGCAUAGGAUCUGGGGUAAGAGAUAAACAUUCGUGAAGGUUAUCAUCAAUGUAGGGUGUUUUAUAAUUGUCAUCUUCCAAAAUAAGGGUUGAUGGCAAUUUUAUAGAUUUAUUUUCUUCUUCUUGUUCUAAUUCCCUAAUGCAUUCUUCGAUGAUAUCUAAGGCAUAACAAGAAUCUCCUAUCACAGG
rnacentral:lncRNA from 1 species